GUCUUUAGAACUUCUAUUUUAAUCUUACCUCUGAAAUCUUUGGAUUCAACCUUGUUACAGCAGCUGUUCUCAACAUGAUCAUGCCAUUCCUAGCAAUUUAUUCAUUGCUAGCUGAUAUUACUGUCUCCUCUACUGCUUAGUUGCCGUCUCACAUUGUUGUCGGGACUUGUGAUGCGAUAAUCUCUGCCCUAAGCAUUCAAGCAUACUGUUCUUCUUUGUCUUGUAUAUGAUAUAUAUUCAUUUUAUGAGGUCAUUAUGGUUGAGUUCCCACUCACUUUCAUAAACACAAUUUUCAUCAAUCUCCUAGGUGAUUUUGCCCAAACAUUUGUCCUGAUCUUGCAUUAUCUUUGUCCUCAACCACCUCCAUUACUGUAUAAAAAUGCCACAAUCAACUGUUUGUGUUAAUAUUAGGAGUUUUGAUCAUUGUACCAUCUAAUUCAUCCCAAUCUCAUCUUUUCUGCCUCCAAACGCGGCCUUCACCUACAUUCUUUUUGGCAAUUAGGUUAGGGACCGCACUUGAUUUGUUACGUUUUCAACAUUACAUUCAAUGCUAGUACGGGCAUAUGGUACAUACUCAUUGGUCUGCUUGUUUUAUGCCAAUAUUGAGUCUGCAGACCCUGGAAGAAUGAUUAAUAUUGGCUAAAUGCAUGUGAUAUUCAAAUUUAUGCCACGUAGUACAUAUGCUUUGAUCACUAAGUAUACUUUCACAUCAGGAAAGUCAGCAUCAAGUUUGGCCAAUAUCUAAUCUAUCAUGGAUGUCUGGUAUGCUUGCACUCAGAAAAUUUAUAUAAAUUAGUGUUGAAAGGCUUAUUUACAGCUUUUAUUUGUAUUUACUAUAUUCUGGUCAUGAAAUACAAGUGUGCCAUGGGUAUUUUCAUAGCCUAUGCUUUCUAUUGAAGCUGACUGGAUCAGAAAAAAUCUGGCAGGCAUAUUGCUUCAGAAUGCACCACAAAAUCACUCUGUUGGAACUGUCGGGAACCUGGGCACAUGGCCAGCCAU
rnacentral:misc_RNA from 1 species